rnacentral:rRNA from 1 species
UAGGGAAUAUUGCGCAAUGGGGGAAACCCUGACGCAGCAACGCCGCGUGAGUGAGGAAGGUCUUCGGAUUGUAAAGCUCUUUUAUUAGGGAAAAACGGAUUUGUGGCUAAUAUCCACGAGUCGUGAUGGUACCUAAGGAAUAAGCACCGGCUAACUUCGUGCCAGCAGCCGCGGUAAUACGAAGGGUGCAAGCGUUGUUCGGAUUUAUUGGGCGUAAAGCGCGCGCAGGCGGAUGUGUGUGUCAGAUGUGAAAUCUCGGGGCUCAACCCCGAAACUGCGUCUGAAACUGCAGAUCUAGAAUAUCGGAGGGGGCAGGGGAAUUUCACGUGUAGGGGUAAAAUCCGUAGAGAUGUGAAGGAACACCAGAGGCGAAGGCGCCUGCCUGGACGAUUAUUGACGC